rnacentral:rRNA from 1 species
ACACANAGGGAAGCGAGAGGGAGACCUGGAGCGACCCCAAAAAGGAACGUCCCAGUUCGGACUGUGGUCUGCAACCCGACCACACGAAGCUGGAAUCGCUAGUAAUCGCGGAUCAGAAUGCCGCGGUGAAUACGUUCCCGGGUCUUGUACACACCGCCCGUCACACCAUGGGAGUCGGAAAUGCCCGAAGUCUGUGACCCAACCUUAGGGAGGGAGCAGCCGAAGGCAGGUCGGAUGACUGGGGUGAAGUCGUAACAAGGUACC